rnacentral:sRNA from 1 species
UGGUUUCUUCUUCUUCUUCCUACAGUUUCGAU